AGUUGCUCGGCGGGCGCCAUCUUUCUCGCGGCGCGGGCGGCGCCCUCCGAGGACAUCUCGAUGACCAGGGCGCCGCGAGGCCCGGGGCUAGCGGGAGCCGAGAGCAGGGUGCUGAAUUCUGGAGAUGGGACUGGGGUCGCGCGGCCUUCUCCUUCCCCACGCCCCCAGACCCAAAAGACGAGGCCGCCGGCUCGGAGCGGGAAGGGCUGGGGCCAGCUUCUUCCUCCUAACCACUUGUUUGUGAUGGAAGAAGGGGGCUGGGGGUCGAGCCUCGCGGCUGAUGGGUUCCCUCCCUGACCCCGCACCCCCACUCCUCCCAGUCGAAAUUGGAGGUGAGGCGCUCCUGCCAUUUUCUCUCCUGCGGUCUGAGAGUGGACGUCUUUGUCUUCUCUGGCCCGGCGUGGGGGCAGGGCAUUGAGCCUUUUCCUUAAUUCUUCAGUUAUUGAAAGUAGAGUCCAACCAGGUUACAAAACUAAAAAAAAGAGUCCAGGACAUUGUCUGUCUGCCUUCCGGUAGCAUGGUUCUCUGUGGGUACCCUACGCUUCGUUUCUUAGUUUUACUCUAAAACAACCCUGAGGAGACAUUUACUAGUUGUCAGAUUACGGGAAGGUGAUGGGUUCCAGUUUUUUGAAACUUUUUUUGUUGGCUUUCAUAUUACUUCAAAUGGCAGUGAAUUAAAACAGUUUCUUAGAACUCUAAUCUGAAAAGUUAAAUACGCUUUAAAACAGUCUGAAACUCUUCUAAAAAGCAAAACUGCAUUAUUAAAAGCAUCCAUGUAAGUAUCUGUUGGUAGUAUCUAUUAGAGAUGGGGGAGGGGUUUAACUUUUACAUUAUUAUUGAAAAGAGGAGGGGAAAGGUCUAUAAAGCUCUGAUCUCUCUAGAAGUCCACAUACAUGGAAAGUAAAUAGUUAAUUUCUAGUGUAGAAAAAUAACACCGUGGUGCCAGUAGGUGUGUCCUUGUGUUUAUAAAUAUACAUAGUGGAUGUUUUAGACCAUUUAAUGAGACCUAUUAUAUAUUGAAUACCUGCUGUAUGCCAGGAACUGUGCCUGAUGCUUUGUAUAAUUUCUAUUAUAUCAGCCCAGAAAUAGUGAUUUUAUGAUCUGUCUACCGGGGAAUGAACUAACGUUCAUAGAAGUAUAGUAAUUGUUCGAGGUCUUGCAGUUUUAAGUAGUAAAGUUGCCAUUGGAUCACAAAAGCUGUAUUCUUCCCCCUACACCUAUGGUUUCCAAAUGUGAGCAUCAGAAUUAAUUUGGGAGAUGUUUUUAAAUAGAGAUUUGUAACAUCACCUCUUCCACCAUCAUUUGCUAGGGCCAACUGGGUCUUUUAAUAAUGUGUCAGGCACUCCAACUUCUUGAUGUUCAAUAUUGACAUUCUGGCCCACCCUGCACCCGCUAUAUCCAAAGAUCUAGUAUUCCAAAGCUCUCCAGGUGAUUCCAGUGACACAGACACACGUUUGGACUGUCUUGUACUAUGCUAUGCACUGUUCUGCUCUUUUUUGAAUUGGAACAUGAGAAUUGAGGUCCAUGUAAUUUUGAGUUUCAGUAGUUUUUUGCUCACAUUAGUCUCAUUUUUGUUUUUCCUCUUGUAGCUGCCAUUUAUCAAAUCGAAAUUAUUUCCUCAGAGAAAAAGGUUUAGGUAUCCUAAGACUUUAAAAUCUCAGUACGUUUUUUUUUAAAGUAUGUUGUCUCAUUCUAUUGAGAAGUUAUACAACAUACAGGCUUCUAGGUCUAGCCAGGCCAUCUAGUUUAGUCAAGACAGCUGUGUAACAAACGUAGCCUUGAGGCCUGGCACGGUGGCUCAUGCCUGUAAUCCCAGCACUUUUGGGGCUCAAGCAGUCUUCCCACCUUUCCCUCCCAAAGUGCUGGGAUUACAGGCGUGAGCCACUGCAUCCUGCCGAGAAAAUCAUUUUUUAUUUAAAUAAUGUCAAAUGGAAGUAUGUAGCACCCCCCCCCCACCUUCUUUUCCCCUUUCUUUCCUCUUUGAGUCUGCUGUCAUUCCCUUUUUCAUGAGUUUUCUCUGCUCCCCAAAUAGGCUAAACAAUAACCGUAAAGUGAGAUUAGAGAAAAUAAGAAUGGAGUAGAUGAUGGAAUUCAAAAUAGCUGUCUACAUUCUUCACUGAGAAAGAUAGCUUUGAGUUAAAGGUGAGAGGAGCAAAUCUGGGGAAAAACGGGUGAAACGGCAUGAUUUAAGUAGCAUACCAGAUGCGUUUCUGCAUGGCAUGGCUCUUGCUUGAUGAAUAAUGUUCUGUAUAGUAGAAGAGGAAAAUACAGUGAGUGAAGGAGCUGGCAGAAGGUGGGCUGGGGGAGUUGGGGAAGAGUGAAAUGAGUAUGGAGAGGUGAGAGAGCUGACUGCAAAGGCAUGUGGGGUGUGGAUUUUAAAAGGAAAGCCCUGAGGUGGAAAUCACUAACAUGGUGCCUGGCUACAAGCAGAGGGAGCUCAGGACUUGACUGUGCUGGGGGUGGCCUGCCCUUUUGUAGUGCAGUUGAGGAGAGCUCAGGGGCUGUCAGAAUGCUGUGUGGGAAGGUGGAGGAUGAAAGAGGACCUGGGAGCAGCAACUUUGUUCUGGUUUGUUGUUUUCUCUUCCCUACCUCGUAUGUACUCCCACUCAGGAAAAGAUCCUGAGACCUCUCUGUACCAGAUCCUCUUAUACCCAGGUUCUCCUUAAUCCCAAUCAACUUUAAUCUAUAAAGUUACGAUUUGUUUACUUAUAAAUUUAUUUUUAAUAAAGUUGUGAAACCG
rnacentral:lncRNA from 1 species